rnacentral:rRNA from 1 species
AACGAACGCUGGCGGCAGGCUUAACACAUGCAAGUCGAACGCAUCCUUCGGGGUGAGUGGCAGACGGGUGAGUAACGCGUGGGAACGUGCCCUUCAGUUCGGGAUAACCAAGGGAAACUUGGGCUAAUACCGGAUGUGUGCGAGAGCAGAAAGAUUUAUAGCUGAAGGAUCGGCCCGCGUCUGAUUAGCUAGUUGGUGGGGUAAUGGCCCACCAAGGCGACGAUCGGUAGCUGGUCUGAGAGGAUGAUCAGCCACAUUGGGACUGAGACACGGCUCAAACUCCUACGGGAGGCAGCAGUGGGGAAUAUUGGACAAUGGGCGCAAGCCUGAUCCAGCCAUGCCGCGUGAGUGAUGAAGGCCUUAGGGUUGUAAAGCUCUUUCGUCCGGGACGAUAAUGACGGUACCGGAAGAAGAAGCCCCGGCUAACUUCGUGCCAGCAGCCGCAGUAA